GGAGGAGUGGCCGAGCGGUUGAAGGCGCGGCUCUCGAAAAGCCGUAAGGGAGAAAUCCUUUCGUGAGUUCGAAUCUCACCUCCUCCGCCA
rnacentral:tRNA from 1 species